UGAGUUUGAUUAUUUCCUGCCGCUACU
rnacentral:misc_RNA from 1 species